UGUAGAAGUCUUUUAGUUCAAUAAUUUCGGGCGUGUUUAGUUUGAUUAAAAUGUCUUCGUUGGGCACCAUCUUGAUAUUAACGUUACAAUAUUGCAUAAAGAGUUUAAUAAUAUGAUUUAAUGACUGUAAACGAAAUAAAACAGGGGACGUUGCAGAAUGCGACCCGAACCGAAGACCCAAAGACAGAAAAGAGAGCAAGCUAGAAACCUGCUACUGCUUUGUUGAACGACUCAGGCACGACUUAGCACUGGUCACUGAGUGCCUAGUGACCGUUUAUACCCGCGGGGCAACCAGUAAAAUGAAGUGGGGAGAGGUACACUUGUACAUGAUUGCUGGUGCAGGCUUACCUUUUCUCAAUCAAUACUUUAAUUGGUAUAUUGGUGGUAGGUACCAUUCAGAAGACGUCUGAUAACGAGGUUAAAAAAUAUUGGAGUUUUCCGAUGUUAAUAAACAAGAAUUGUGUAAUUAUUAAUUGUAAGUAAAUACUACAAUGUAUGUAAUUAGAUUAUAAUCAAUAUCAGGUAUAAUAUACUUUCGUAAUUUCAAGAGUGAUAAUCCAGUUUAUUAAUCAACAUACUAGAAAA